GAUGAACGCUAGCGGCAGGCCUAAUACAUGCAAGUCGAACGGUGUCUUCGGACAUAGUGGCGCACGGGUGCGUAACACGUAUGCAACCUACCUUACAUUGGGGGAUAGCCUUUCGAAAGGGAGAUUAAUACCGCAUAAGACAGUAGCUGGGCAUCAUGCAGCUGUUAGAGCUUUGGCGAUGAUAGAUGGGCAUGCGUCCAAUUAGUUAGUUGGUGAGGUAACGGCUCACCAAGACGAUGAUUGGUAGGGGAUCUGAGAGGAUAAUCCCCCACACUGGCACUGAGAUACGGGCCAGACUCCUACGGGAGGCAGCAGUAGGGAAUAUUGGGCAAUGGACGGAAGUCUGACCCAGCCAUGCCGCGUGCAGGAAGAAGGCGUUAUGCGUUGUAAACUGCUUUUUAAUAGGAAGAAGGAGACCUUGCGAGGUUUGGUGACGGUACUAUAAGAAUAAGCACCGGCUAACUCCGUGCCAGCAGCCGCGGUAAAAC
rnacentral:rRNA from 1 species